rfam:Triticum aestivum genome assembly, contig: Triticum_aestivum_CS42_TGACv1_scaffold_049648_1BS
UUCAUACUCCCUCCGUCCAGAAAUAGUUGUCGAAGGAAUAGAUGUAUCUAGAUGUAUUUUAGUUUCACAUGCAUCCAUUUAUGUCCAUUUUCGCGACAAGUAUUUUCGGACGGAGGGAGUACUUC